rnacentral:rRNA from 1 species
UGGGGAAUUUUGGACAAUGGGCGAAAGCCUGAUCCAGCAAUGCCGCGUGUGUGAAGAAGGCCUUCGGGUUGUAAAGCACUUUUGUCCGGAAAGAAAUCCUUGGCUCUAAUACAGUCGGGGGAUGACGGUACCGGAAGAAUAAGCACCGGCUAACUACGUGCCAGCAGCCGCGGUAAUACGUAGGGUGCAAGCGUUAAUCGGAAUUACUGGGCGUAAAGCGUGCGCAGGCGGUUUGCUAAGACCGAUGUGAAAUCCCCGGGCUCAACCUGGGAACUGCAUUGGUGACUGGCAGGCUAGAGUAUGGCAGAGGGGGGUAGAAUUCCACGUGUAGCAGUGAAAUGCGUAGAGAUGUGGAGGAAUACCGAUGGCGAAGGCAGCCCCUGGGCCAAUACUGACGCUCAUGCACGAAAGCGUGGGGGAGCAAACAGGAUUCAGAUACCCUGGUAGUCCAGCGCCCUAAACGAUGUCAACUAGUUGUUGGGGACUUCAUUUCCUUAGUAACGUAGCUAACGCGUGAAGUUGACCGCCUGGGGAGUACGGUCGCAAGAUUAAAACUUAAAUGAAUUGACGGGGUCAUAGCUGUUUCCU